rnacentral:lncRNA from 1 species
GUCCACUGGAAAACUGCAAAAGCUGAGGGCCAGAUAUCAGAAGAGGACGCACCAAGAGUCAGAGGAGGAAUAUUAAAGAGGGACAUGGAUGAAACUGGAACCAUCAUUCUCAGCAAACUGACAAAGGAAUAGAAAACCAAACACAGCAUGUUCCCAUUCAUAAAUAAGAAAACUGAGACUCUUAAGAUUAAUAACAUAUUCCACAGCACCUUCAGCUCAUAAGAGAUAAAGUCAGGAUUCUAAUCUAAUUCUUAGAGCUGAAGACACUCCAAGAAGGGAAAGCAUGGAAACUUUAUGGAGACUGAGUGAUUCUAUGAAGAAGAUGCAAUUAAGUUGCGAGAAGAAGGAGUGAACA